CCCUUAGAUGUUCUGGGCCGCACGCGCGCUACACUGACUGGUGCAACAAGUGUCUGACCUUGGCUCGAGAGGCCUGGGCAACCUUUGAACGCCAGUCGUGCUGGGGAUAGAUUCUUGCAAUUAUUAAUCUUCAACGAGGAAUUCCUAGUAAACGCAAGUCAUCAGCUUGCAUUGAUUACGUCCCUGCCCUUUGUACACACCGCCCGUCGCUACUACCGAUUGAAUGAUUUAGUGAGGACUUCGGACUGGGACCGAUGCGGCUUUCGGGCUGCGUCGGUAUUCUGGAAAGAUGUCCAAACUGUAUCAUUUAGAGGAAGUAAAAGUCGUAACA
rnacentral:rRNA from 1 species